AAUCAAUGUGACGGAAUUUUUCAAGCAUUUCCUUAAAUCACUCUCAACUUUCAUAAAUUUACUCACCUUCAAACUGGGAAAAAGAUGAAAUAUCAUUCCUAAGAUU